ACAGCAGUCGCCGCGGUAAUACGAAGGGUGCAAGCGUUAAUCGGAAUUACUGGGCGUAAAGCGUGCGUAGGCGGUUUGUUAAGUCUGCUGUGAAAUCCCCGGGCUCAACCUGGGAAUGGCAGUGGAUACUGGCAAGCUAGAGUGUGUCAGAGGAUGGUGGAAUUCCCGGUGUAGCGGUGAAAUGCGUAGAGAUCGGGAGGAACAUCAGUGGCGAAGGCGGCCAUCUGGGACAACACUGACGCUGAGGCACGAAAGCGUGGGGAGCAAACAGGAUUAGAUACCCGAGUAGUCCCUGUCUCUUAUAC
rnacentral:rRNA from 1 species